CUGGGAAGUGAUUAGGUCAUGAUGGUGAGGAGGUGGAGGAUCUGGAAGUGAUCAGGUCCUGAUGGUGAGGAGGUGGAGGAUCUGGAAGUGAUUAGGUGGUGAUGGUGAGGAGGUGGAGGAUCUGGAAGUGAUUAGGUCGUGAUGGUGAGGAGGUGGAGGAUCUGGGAAGUGAUUAGGUCGUGAUGGUGAGGAGGUGGAGGAUCUGGAAGUGAUUAGGUCGUGAUGGCGAGGAGGUGGAGGAUCUGGGAAGUGAUUAGGUCGUGACGGUGAGGAGGUGGAGGAUCUGGAAGUGAUUAGGUCGUGAUGGUGAGGAGGUGGAGGCUCUGGGAAGUGAUUAGGUCGUGAUGGUGAGGAGGUGGAGGAUCUGGAAGUGAUUAGGU
rnacentral:lncRNA from 1 species